rnacentral:rRNA from 1 species
AGAGUUUGAUCCUGGCUCAGGAUGAACGCUGGCGGCGUGCUUAACACAUGCAAGUCGAACGAUGAACCUCACUUGUGGGGGGAUUAGUGGCGAACGGGUGAGUAACACGUGAGUAACCUGCCCUUAACUCUGGGAUAAGCCUGGGAAACUGGGUCUAAUACCGGAUAUGACUCCUCAUCGCAUGGUGGGGGGUGGAAAGCUUUUUUGUGGUUUUGGAUGGACUCGCGGCCUAUCAGCUUGUUGGUGAGGUAAUGGCUCACCAAGGCGACGACGGGUAGCCGGCCUGAGAGGGUGACCGGCCACACUGGGACUGAGACACGGCCCAGACUCCUACGGGAGGCAGCAGUGGGGAAUAUUGCACAAUGGGCGCAAGCCUGAUGCAGCGACGCCGCGUGAGGGAUGACGGCCUUCGGGUUGUAAACCUCUUUCAGUAGGGAAGAAGCGAAAGUGACGGUACCUGCAGAAGAAGCGCCGGCUAACUACGUGCCAGCAGCCGCGGUAAUACGUAGGGCGCAAGCGUUAUCCGGAAUUAUUGGGCGUAAAGAGCUCGUAGGCGGUUUGUCGCGUCUGCCGUGAAAGUCCGGGGCUCAACUCCGGAUCUGCGGUGGGUACGGGCAGACUAGAGUGAUGUAGGGGAGACUGGAAUUCCUGGUGUAGCGGUGAAAUGCGCAGAUAUCAGGAGGAACACCGAUGGCGAAGGCAGGUCUCUGGGCAUUAACUGACGCUGAGGAGCGAAAGCAUGGGGAGCGAACAGGAUUAGAUACCCUGGUAGUCCAUGCCGUAAACGUUGGGCACUAGGU